rnacentral:rRNA from 1 species
GAUGAACGCUAGCUACAGGCUUAACACAUGCAAGUCGAGGGACCGGCGCACGGGUGAGUAACACGUAUCCAACCUGCCCUUUACUCGGGGAUAGCCUUUCGAAAGAAAGAUUAAUACCCGAUGUAAAGGAUGGGGAUGCGUUCCAUUAGGUUGUUGGUGAGGUAACGGCUCACCAAGCCUUCGAUGGAUAGGGGUUCUGAGAGGAAGUUCCCCCACAUUGGAACUGAGAUACGGUCCAUACUCCUCCGGGAGGCAGCAGUGAGGAAUAUUGGGCAAUGGGCGUUAGCCUGAACCAGCCAAGUAGCGUGAAGGAUGAAGGCUUAUGGGUCGUAAACCUCUUUUAUAUAAGAAUAUGUAUUAUAUGAAUAAGGAUCGGCUAACUCCGUGCCAGCAGCCGCGGUAAUAC